rnacentral:rRNA from 1 species
GUGGGGAAUCUUCCGCAAUGGGCGAAAGCCUGACGGAGCAACGCCGCGUGAGUGAAGAAGGCCUUCGGGUCGUAAAGCUCUGUCUUUAGGGACGAACCGCGUAUGGAGUAAUAUGCCAUACGUCUGACGGUACCUAAGGAGGAAGCUCCGGCUAACUACGUGCCAGCAGCCGCGGUAAUACGUAGGGAGCGAGCGUUGUCCGGAAUUACUGGGCGUAAAGGGCGCGUAGGCGGAGGUUUAAGUAGGGUGUGAAAACUAUGGGCUCAACCGAUAGACUGCAUCCUAAACUGGGCCUCUUGAGGGCAGGAGAGGAAAGUGGAAUUCCUAGUGUAGCGGUGAAAUGCGUAGAUAUUAGGAGGAACACCAGUGGCGAAGGCGACUUUCUGGACGAUGUCUGACGCUGAGGCGCGAAAGCUAGGGGAGCGAACGGGAUUAGAUACCCUGGUAGUCC